rnacentral:lncRNA from 1 species
CAGUUGUUUGCAUUGCUUAGGAGGAAGCUGAGAGAAGAUCCUGCAGCUAGGACAUGCUGAAGUUACAGGGGACUCUGGGCCAGAGCAGAGUGCACAGGGGUGCUGGGUACUGGGCUGUGGCAUCCAGUCUCCAAGGCCUGUGGAUCCCCCUGGAGAUGCCAAAGGUCUGCAGCUCUGUCCAAGGAGGGUGUGGGACUCCAGAGGGGGCCGCCUAGCUCCUGCAGGGGUGUGGGAAGAUGCAGGGUCCUGCAGGAGUGUGGGAUGCUAUUUGGACUUCACAGAAUGUGGGUAGCUUUAACCAUGAGCCUAGGGUGAGAGGGAAGGAGGAGCCAGAUGUUGGACCCCAGAGUGGCAGCUCCUCUCCUGAUCCCUGGGACACACCAAGUCUUGUAAAUUGCCGUUUGGAAUCUUUGCCUGAGGUUUUCCUGUGGCAGGGAAUGUUCAAUCUUUUGAACCAGCAAGGAUCAGGACAUAAAUUGCUGAAAAUCUAUACCUAAAUUUUAAAGAAAUAUUUCUACAUUUUGAGUCUCUUUUUUU